rnacentral:lncRNA from 1 species
GUUCACAUCUACAAUCAUCAAUAAGCUUGAAAGAAUACAGCGACAACCUGUGAGAUUUAUAACAGGAGAGUACAAAUCCAGAGAAGUUGGUUGCGUCUCAAACACGCUCACCAAACUGAAACUACAAGACAUACAGACAAGACGCUCAAGUCAGAAGCUAAUAUUUCUGUACGAGGUGGUCGCAGUGCUAUAGAACCAGACAAUUUAAAAAAAAAAGCUCGUCCAAAAAGAACACUAAAUUGCUGUCAAGGGCCC